AUUUUGAGGGGUGAAACUGUACGUUGUAUGUGCCCUAUUAUAAAAACCAUAAGCGUAUAGCUUUUCCCCUUAAAAG
rnacentral:pre_miRNA from 1 species